rnacentral:rRNA from 1 species
CAGUGGGGAAUCUUAGACAAUGGGCGCAAGCCUGAUCUAGCCAUGCCGCGUGUGUGAUGAAGGUCUUAGGAUCGUAAAGCACUUUCGCCAGGGAUGAUAAUGACAGUACCUGGUAAAGAAACCCCGGCUAACUCCGUGCCAGCAGCCGCGGUAAUACGGAGGGGGUUAGCGUUGUUCGGAAUUACUGGGCGUAAAGCGUACGUAGGCGGAUUGGAAAGUUGGGGGUGAAAUCCCAGGGCUCAACCCUGGAACUGCCUCCAAAACUAUCAGUCUAGAGUUCGAGAGAGGUGAGUGGAAUUCCAAGUGUAGAGGUGAAAUUCGUAGAUAUUUGGAGGAACACCAGUGGCGAAGGCGGCUCACUGGCUCGAUACUGACGCUGAGGUACGAAAGUGUGGGGAGCAAACAGGAUUAGAUACCCUGGUAGUCCACACCGUAAACGAUGAAUGCCAGUCGUCGGGCAGUAUACUGUUCGGUGACACACCUAACGGAUUAAGCAUUCCGCCUGGGGAGUACGGUCGCAAGAUUA